rnacentral:misc_RNA from 1 species
UUUCCGUAGGUGAACCUGCGGAAGGAUCAUUCAUAAUCAGUGUUUUAUGGCACUUUUUUAAAUCCAUAUCCACCUUGUGUGCAAUGUCAGGGUUGAUUUUUCUCUCGAGAGGAUCAACCCCAAACAUCAACUAUAUCUCAACUCUUUGUCUGAAAAAUAUUAUGAAUAAAACAAUUCAAAAUACAACUUUCAACAACGGAUCUCUUGGCUCUC